CCUACGGGGGGCUGCAGUGGGGAAUAUUGGACAAUGGGCGCAAGCCUGAUCCAGCAAUGCCGCGUGUGUGAAGAAGGCCUGCGGGUUGUAAAGCACUUUAAGCAGGAAAGAAGGGGUGGAAGUUAAUACCUUUCAUCAUUGACGUUACCUGCAGAAUAAGCACCGGCUAACUCCGUGCCAGCAGCCGCGGUAAUACGGAGGGGGCAAGCGUUGAUCGGAAUUACUGUGCGUAAAGCGCGCGUAGGCGGUUGAAAGCCCCGGGCUUAAGCUAGGAACUGCGGUGGAUACUGUCGAGCUAGAGUGUGGUAGAGGGGAGUGAAAUUUCCGGUGUAGCAGUGAAAUGCGUAGAGAUCGGAAGGAACACGAGUGGCGAAGGCGGCUCCCUGGACUAACACUGACGCUGAGGUGCGAAAGCGUGGGGAGCAAACAGGAUUAGAUACCCGAGUAGUC
rnacentral:rRNA from 1 species